rnacentral:rRNA from 1 species
AUGAUUGCUGAAUUCGAUCAUGUGAUGCAAGAACAUAUUAGGCGCAUUCAAAGUAAUGAAAUACAUCAUCAUUAUCUUGGCCACACUAUUCAGAAUGAGUUGAUUUCUCUCCUUGCUGACGCCGUGAAAAAGGUUAUCUUACGCACCAUCAAGGAUGCCAAGUAUUUCUCUGUUAUAUUGGACUGUACCCCGGAUGUGAGCCAUGAAGAGCAAAUGACGCUAAUUGUGCGUUGUGUCAAUAUGUCAAGUAACAUUCCGAGAGUGGAGGAGUUUUUCCUAGAAUUCUUAAAGGUUGAUGACACAUCAGGAUUGGAGAAGUCUUCUACUGAUGAUCCAGCUGCAGUAAGUGAUGCUCAAUCUUUGUUCAGUGCACUUGGGAAAUUUGAGACUUUGGUUGGUAUGGUUAUUUGGCAUGAUAUUUUAUUUUCUGUCAAUAUGGUGAGCAAAAAGUUACAGGAAAAAAUUGUGUGCAUCGAUGCUACUCUCAAACACAUUGAAGGGGUCAUUUCAUAUUUUGAGAAGUAUAGAGAUGAAGGCUUCUAUUCUAGUAUUGAGAGUGCCAAACUCAUUGCAGCGAAUAUGGACAUAGAGCCAAAAUUUCGUACAAAACGUCAAAGUAAAAGGAAGAGGCAUUUUGAUGAAAUCAAUGAUGUAGAUGAAGAUCCACAACUGUCAGCUAUUGAAUCCUUCAGAGUUACUUACUUUCUUGUCAUUGUUGACACUGCAAUUGCUUCAUUGAAUAGUCGAUUUGAGCAGCUGAAGGCAUUUGAAAAGGUGUUUGGUUUCUUAUUCAACUCAAAUAAGUUGAAGUCAUUGGACGAUAGUAAUCUACGAAAAUCUUGCACUAUUUUUGCACAAACUUUUACUCAUGAAAAGUCACAUGAUAUUGACCUUGAUGAUUUUUUCUCUGAGUUAAAAGUGUUGAAGGUAACUUUGCCAGAUGAUUUGAUGUCAGCACCUGAGAUUCUUCAAUUUGUUACAGCUGUCGGUUGCUAUCCAAAUGUGUCAGUUGCUUAUCGGAUCCUCUUGACUAUACCGGUGACUGUAGCCUCAGCUGAAAGAAGUUUCUCUAAACUGAAACUACUGAAAAAUUGUUUGAGGUCAACUAUGUUACAAGAGAGAUUGAAUGGCUUGGCUACCUGUUGUAUUGAGAAGGAUAUCUUGGACAGAAUUGAUCUUGAUACUCUCAUCAAUGAUUUUGCAUCCCGAAAUGCUCGAAGAAGUUUUUUUUUUGAAAAACUGAUGUAUUAUUGUCGAUGA